ACUUCUUAUAGCUCUAGUCACAGAACAGCCUAGGAACUCCUCACUACAAAGGCAAGGUGCUUGCUCUAAAAUUAGUUUGCCUAUUUGGGAAAUGAAGACUUCCUGUGGUUUGAGGUUCAGCUCUUUUUCUGAAUUGUUGCAAUCUGUACUCAGGGCCCUUAAGAUCUAGGUUAGGUUUUGUUUGGUGUAGUUUUUGCACCCUAUGGAAAUCAGUUAUUAGCACUUUGUUAAUAUUGUUCACUUAGUUCUUGGGGGAAUACUGCCUAAGGUAUGCAAGAGGCCAUGCCCAAUUCAGACUUGGCCAGCAAAUUCGAUCAUGGGUUCAUACUAUCACAGAAACAGACCAGAGGCAGCGAAUUCUAUCACUACAACACGUUCUCAUUUACUCUUCCCUUCCAAAGGUAAGCGUCAUUAUUCUCCCACUUUUCAGAGACUAAACCCGGUGAGGGCCUGUGUGUCCACACGCAGGGGCUGACAGACCCAUCCAAUGCAGGCUUGUGCCUUAGCGGGAAAUGAAUCCUCCUUCGGUGAUCCUGCCGGCACGCCUGGCCGCCAGCUGGGGGCUCAGGACACGCAGGGUCCCCGUCGUCACCUGAGCGUACCUGUCCGGUUCUGGCCUUGGAGAACACCGAGGCGGCUCCCAAGGGCAUCGCCACUCCACUAGGCGCAGCGAGAAGAGCGGAGGGAUGCCGCGGGCCGGCCUACAGGUUGAGAGGAGGGAUUGAAGCAAACAGACGGAUAACAGGGAAAAAUAUGUCAUGAACCAUCAUGGAAAUGGGGCUGGUAGAGCGCUAUUGUAUCAUCCGGGCUCUUCUUUGGCAACUGAAGGACAGGUCGGCUCCCGAAUCUGCCUCAUUGCUGCCAAGGAGAAGCCAACCAGACAUGGGAUGCAGCCCUACCUCACCAUUGUGGUGCAGUUAAGGCAGUCCUCCUCGUACUUUGAGGGUCCUUGUCGUAUGUCCUAUCAUUUAAUGAGUCAUGAGAUGGAUGAGCUGUAUCGACUUGAUUAGUGGUGCCUACUUCAGCCUCAGUUCUUCAGACUGGGUCUAAGCUUAUUAAGCACAAAGUAAAGGGAAAUAGAAUUUUGGUCACAUUUUAUUAAACAGUGUUUAUAUUAAACAUCUUAUUAAACACUAGUUUUCAGAAUAAAGAAAAUGUCCCUCAUGCUCUCCAAAAGUGACCAGUGAAGUUUCUUAUUAAGUUUCUUGUUUUUUUCUUUCUUUCUUUUCUUUUCUUUUUUUUUUAAGGGAUGCAUCUGCUGCAUAUGAAAGUUCCCAAGUUGAAUGGGAGCUGCAGCUGCUGACCUAUGCCACAGCCACAGCAACACCAGAUCUGAGCUGCAUCACAGCCUAUGCCACAGCUUGCAGUACUGCUGGAU
rnacentral:lncRNA from 9 species